AGACAGAAAAAAGAUGAAUCUUUUCUCGUGAGAUACACACGAGUAAAGUGUACAAGCGUGGCUGUAAGCGACUAAAGAAAGUUUCGCAAGGAGAGAAAAUAGAUUUUGUCUUAUGCAUAGAUACAUGGAGUCACUCAGCUGUCAUCUUCGGCCUCGCUUGGAGGAUCUUCGACCAAAUUCUUUAUAGUGUUAUCUUGAUUGAGUUCCUCUUCGUCGUCAGUAUCGUCAUCGGCACCCGGAUGAACGGAAACCUUAUGCGU